rnacentral:rRNA from 1 species
CCUACGGGGGGCAGCAGUGAGGAAUAUUGGUCAAUGGGCGCGAGCCUGAACCAGCCAAGUAGCGUGAAGGAUGACUGCCCUACGGGUUGUAAACUUCUUUUAUAAAGGAGUAAAGUGAGGCACGUGUGCCUUUUUGUAUGUACUUUAUGAAUAAAGCUCGGGUAACUCCGUUCCAGCAGCCGCGGUAAUACCGGGGAUCCGAGCGUUAUCCGGAUUUAUUGGGUUUAAAGGGAGCGUAGAUGGGUUGUUAAGUUCGUUGUGAAAGUUUGCGGCUUAACCGUAAAAUUGCAAUUGAUACUGGCAGCCUUGAGUACAGUUGAGGUAGGCGGAAUGCGUGGUGUAGCGGUGAAAUGCUUAGAUAUCACGAAGAACUCCGAUUGCGAAGGCAGCUUACUAAACUGCCACUGACAUUGAUGCUCGAAAGUGUGGGUAUCAAACAGGAUUAGAUACCCCGGUAGUC